CGGACGGGUGAGUAACGCGUGGAAAACCUGCCGUAUACUGGGGGAUAACACUUAGAAAUAGGCGCUAAUACCGCAUAAGCGCACAGCUUCGCAUGAAGCGGUGUGAAAAACUCUGGUGGUAUACGAUGGUUCCGCGUCUGAUUAGCUAGUUGGUGGGGUAAUGGCCUACCAAGGCAACGAUCAGUAGCCGGCCUGAGAGGGUGAACGGCCACAUUGGGACUGAGACACGGCCCAAACUCCUACGGAAGGCAGCAG
rnacentral:rRNA from 1 species